rnacentral:rRNA from 1 species
GGAUUAGAUACCCUGGUAGUCCACGCCGUAAACGAUGUCUACUAGCCGUUGGGACUCUUGAAGUCUUAGUGGCGCAGCUAACGCACUAAGUAGACCGCCUGGGGAGUACGGCCGCAAGGUUAAAACUCAAAUGAAUUGACGGGGGCCCGCACAAGCGGUGGAGCAUGUGGUUUAAUUCGACGCAACGCGAAGAACCUUACCUGGCCUUGACAUCCUGCGAACUUUCUAGAGAUAGAUUGGUGCCUUCGGGAACGCAGUGACAGGUGCUGCAUGGCCGUCGUCAGCUCGUGCCG